UUCCGUUCUGCUGACUUGAAAACACAUGUAUGCAGGAGGGGAGAGAAAAGAAGAGCAAAGACCAAAAAAUAUGACUUCCUCUUCAGGUGUUGACUUUUACUUGCAGCCUCACUGCUAGAAAAAGACAAGUACAACACAUGGACUUAUCAGCCCCUCUAAGAUCAAGGGGAUUUAUACCAGCGACUGUCUCAUUUAGACAUAGCUUUUAGUUGUCUCCUUGAUUGCAGUUCAGAGCAGUGUUCUACAACCUGUACUCUCCUAUCUAGGAUAGUUUGAUUAAAAGGAAGGUAAAAGAAAGAAAAGGCAGAGAGGCAUGUAAAAAGACUACAGAGCUUCUGAGAGCAGGGUGACUUCAAGACCCCAAGUCUUCCCUUCCAAGUGGAUUUCCAGGACUGCACUGAAAUUGGUAGACAGAAAGAUGACUUCCAGGUAUCUCCUCGCCAGAAACUCACCAGAAGCUCUGAUCAGAUCAAGAGAAUACCACAGUCACGAGAGCAGGGGUACCCUGGGAGAGGCUCUGCCAAUGGCACUUUCAUAUUCCUUAAUAGUGCAAUACUCAUUAGCACAGACUGGGGAAGCUGGGUGAAUCAUGUCCAUGAGUGUCUCUACUAGGGUCUGGAAAGACCAUCUGCACAGAUCAAGACACAUCAGUGGGAAGCAAUUUGGUAAGUGCACACCAAAUUCAACAAUCAUUUUGGGACAAUGGAAAAAAAGGCAUUUUUCAGUGAGAAGGAUACCGGCUAAAAAAACAUUCUCUUGACUGUAGUGACAGUACAGCCAGACAGACCUCAUCACUCUGCCACUUUAUAUCCAGCAGCUGUGGGACAGGAGACUCUUGUACUUGCAGACAACGGAAGAACUUACCUGGCAAUAAGAAAUCUUGCUAGGAAAAAAGGGUUGUGUGGGAGUAAUGAAAUCCUCUGGGAAUGGCGGAUGAAACCUGAACACUGGUGGGGCUGCCUUGAGUUCUGACACAAUUGCCACACUGCAUAAGAAAAACCUGCAGAGAACAGACUCGCUCUGAGGGCUGAGAUGUGACCAGUGUCCCAGUUAUUAUUAGGUACUAAAGGUCUGAAAAGGUUCAAACUCCAUCUUUGUAGGAAUUCAAAGAAGGGGAUGUUUGAGGCCUUGCUGACAGCUUCCAGACUGAAAAAGAAAGCAGAGGAAAAAGGGGCAUUUCUCUGGCCUUCCUUGGUGAUUGCUCAGAACUACGUCUACUGAUGGCUGUGUCCAACAAUGAGAAGAAGAGCCAAGAGAAGUCAAAAUCUGCGGGAUGUGAUGGUCUGCUAGUUCAGAAAAGCCACCUGGAGAAACAAAAACAAAUGUCAGACAGCUGUGAGUGGGAGAAAUGCUAUUGUUUUCCUGGUAGUCCGUCCUCCUAGUCUUCUGAGAGAAGCGGGUGAGCGUGUGUUUGUGUGUGUGAGUAUGCUGGGAAUAAGUAAUCAAGGAAACAUUCAAGGAACGGGCAGCGUUCAGAGCCUCGUGGUUGAGCAAGUGCGUGGCAAACAGUGUCAGCUGCUGGUUACUGCUCCACCCUGC
rnacentral:lncRNA from 1 species